GAACUUUCCUUAUUGUUAGUUUUACUAUACCCAUCCUUGUUCACAUUACAUAAAACAUAUUAGUAAUUAAAUUAACACAAGUAAACUAUGUUAUUUCUACAAAAAUGUAGUGCUGUAGACUUUACUUAAUAAGGGUUUGACUGGCCAACUUAACAUUGUGGAGUAAAACGCAAAACCCUCUUAAGUUUGGAUAUUUGUGGAUACCGUAGCUGCUUACCUAGAGGUGGAGCACCAGAGCAGAACAGAAGACAAACGAACGCGGGAAGCACAUUGAGGAGGAGAAGAUGGUGGCUUUGUCAGAUUGCUGCUGAAUUCAGUCGAAUCACUACUGUCCCACUAAUUCAAACAUUUAUGUCAAAACAAGAUGGUUACACCAGCAAGCUGGCCAGCAUCUACCAUAAAAGGAGGAAUUGCAGGGUGUAAAAUUUGGAAACUGAUGGCUACCAUCGACAAGUAUGAUACCAUCUGAACUUGCAUUCUCAGAGCAUGUUCUGUGUAUCUUAAUGAAGACUAUGAAACCUCAUGUAUACAGACACAGACUUUGAAAACUCUAAGACAUGGGCAAUAUUGUCAUUGGAAUCUACAUCAUCAGACCUGAAGGUGCAGAAGCCUGUGACCCACCAUCAGAUGUUGGACUGAUUUUUGAGGGAGUAAAUGUGCUUCAGAACCUUGGCGAAGUCACCUAGGCUUGUGCUCUUUCUUUGAGAGUCAUAUACAGCUUCAAUCUCAGUUAUCCUUCAGACCUGAAAUACACUUUUGAGUUUUUCCAGAAAGUGUUGCUGGGACUUGAUGCACAUAAACUGUUACUCAUAAUACAAGUUCUUAAGAACAAACCUGUUGGUUGAAUCAGUACAUCAUUCUGGACAAAUGAAAGAAAUAAAGGAAGAAGCUUUUUUGUGACAUUUAAAUUGUUUCUGGUUUUAAAAUUAAGGGUUUUAAUGUUGUCUUUGUCGAUGGAACCAACAUUUUAAAUGGAGUUCUGUAACUUUAAAUGGUUAAAAUUGUUUGGUUAUUUACAAAAAUUCAAAGAUUUUUCAGUUUUAAUCUUUUCUUUACUAAUGGCUCGAACGAUUUGAGAUAUCAAAAAUUGAGCACUGUAUUAGUUUGUGACAUGCUGCCUGUCUUAAACUUUUCUUUUCUUUUUCCAAGUAAAAUUUAUUACUUGAAGUUGCACAUAGUAAAAGUACAUUUUGGUCAAUAGUAAACAUUCUUUGUUUUUGUUUUUUUUCAUGGUUUUUUUUUCUGUCUUUUUGAAACGAACUGUUAUUUUUGUGGUGGUUUUCAUAAAUAGAGGCCAGUUGUUUUAACAAUAGCUUAAACAUUUUGAAAUAUCAGCAAUUGAGCAUUGUAGCAUUUCGUGAUAGUCUUGGAAAAAAAAAUUCUUUUGUAAAUUUGCUCAUACAUUUUUCUUACAAUAUUUGAAGGAAGUAGCACAUUGUAAGAAUGUUUACUAUUGACCAAAAUGUUGUUUUUACAUUUUUUUCAAACUGUUUUUGAGCGGUUUGUGGAUGUUUACAAAAAUAGAGGCUAUUUUGAAUGUUACUCUUACUAUUCAUUGUUAAGAUCAGAAAUAGAGUUUAGCAGUAUUUUAACAUUCCAUGUAUUUAAUUUUUCAAAGUAAGAUUAUUUCAGAUUCUUGAAGCCAGUUGCACAUUAAAAGACCUUGUAAAUGUUGAGUGUAAAACCUUUGAUGUUUUUGUGUAUUUGUUUCUAAGGACCUGUGAAAUUGAAGUAGUUUU